CCCAGCCGCAAACUCUGGAAUCGAGCAUUCUCAAGAUAAUACAGGGCGCUUUUGAAACUUACUACUACCGCUUCAGUUUCAUUUUGGCAGAUGAACCUCUUGGUUGUCUCUCUCUCUUUUAUUCUAAAAUAGACAGUAAUACUACCAAAGAUUCACCAGGGGUAAAAGAGUUAAAAGGAAAAUCACCUAGGGAUGGAUGUAUCUGUCAAAAUUGAACUCUAAGAUACCGUUUGACAACGGGUUAAGUAAGAGGUUAGGGAGAUUUAACCCUUUUUUAACCCGCCAAACACAAAUCUAUACAAAGGUUAAAGUGAGUUAUAAUUCUUCCUAAUUUGUCAAACUCGAAAAAUGUAUUAGUGUUAAGGUACCCAUUGGAGUGAUUAAAAUGAGUUUAUCCCUCAAAAUGAGAGUUUGUUAAUACUCUCAUUAGAAGGAUUAAGAAUUUACCCAUCUAUUUAUAAAGAAGACAGUCAAAAUUCAUAUUAUUCCGAAACACUAAGAUUGAUCAUAAUGCCUAAAAUAAAACUUAUUUAACAUGUUAAUAAUUUAGUCUGAACUUAUCGAAUGAGCUAAUUAUCUUAAUUUUUUAAUCCAUUUUACUUAACCCUUUGCCAAACGGGGCAUAAGGCAUUAAGUUCUGUGAGGCGAUACUGCAGGAGUGUUUGCCCAAUUUAAGCAUUUUUCAAGGGUAUGACUGAGCAUGUCGUGUGCCUUGCCUCUUUAUUCUCUUAAGAGUUUAUGUUCCAUGCAAUCAUACAUCCUUGCUUCUUUUCUAGUGGCAUGUUCUCUGUAUGGUUAGAAGAGUAUCAUCUACAAAGAAUUUGUAGGGAAGAUUUCACAAUGAUGUGUAUACGGGUAAUUGCAUAACAUGAACAAAAUGUAAGAGUUCUGUUUGCUCUCUUCUCAGGAUAACAACGCCAAGAGAAAGUUUGAUGAU